rnacentral:rRNA from 1 species
AGAGGCUACUGCUAUCGAGAUUCGAUUAAGCCAUGCGAGUUGAAUGUUCUUCGUGAACAUGGCGGACUGCUCAGUAACACGUGGACAACCUACCCUUGGAUCUGGGAUAAACCCGGGAAACUGGGCAUAAUACCGGAUAAGCCACGUAUGCUGGAAUGCUUUGUGGCUCAAAGCUCCGGCGUCCAAGGAUGGGUCUGCGGCCUAUCAGGGUAGUAGUGGGUGUAAUGUACCUACUAGCCUACGACGGGUACGGGUUGUGAGAGCAAGAGCCCGGAGAUGGAUUCUGAGACACGAAUCCAGGCCCUACGGGGUGCAGCAGGCGCGAAAACUUUACAAUGCGGGAAACCGCGAUAAGGGAAUCUCGAGUGCCAGCAUAUAAUGUUGGCUGUCCAGAUGCCUAAAAAGCAUUUGUUAGCAAGGGCCGGGCAAGACCGGUGCCAGCCGCCGCGGUAACACCGGCGGCCCGAGUGGUAACCGUUAUUAUUGGGUCUAAAGGGUCUGUAGCCGGCCGAAUAAGUCUCUUGGGAAACCUGGCAGCUUAACUGUUAGGCAGUCAGGGGAUACUGUUCGGCUUGGGACCGGGAGAGGUGAGAGGUACCUCGGGGGUAGGGGUGAAAUCUUGUGAUCCUCGAGGGACCACCAGUGGCGAAGGCGUCUCACCAGAACGGGUCCGACGGUAAGGGACGAAAGCUAGGGGCACGAACCGGAUUAGAUACCCGGGUAGUCCUAGCCGUAAACGAUGCUUGCUAGGUGUCAGCCACGGUGCGACCGUGGUUGGUGCCGUAGGGAAGCCGUGAAGCGAGCCACCUGGGAAGUACGGCCGCAAGGCUGAAACUUAAAGGAAUUGGCGGGGGAGCACUACAACGGGUGGAGCUGCGGUUUAAUUGGAUUCAACGCCGGAA